GAUGAACGCUGGCGGCGUGCCUAAUACAUGCGAGUCGAACGCUGGAAAUCUAGCUUGCUAGAUUGAAGGAGUGGCGAACGGGUGAGUAAUACAUAAGCAACCUACCCACGAAGACUGGGAUAAUCUCUGGAAACGGGGACUAAUACCGGAUAGGUAAUCGGAAGGCAUCUUCUGAUUAUUAAAGGUUAAAAACACUGGUUGAUGGGCUUAUGGCGCAUUAGUUAGUUGGUGAGGUAACGGCCCACCAAGACGAUGAUGCGUAGCCGGCCUGAGAGGGUGAACGGCCACAUUGGGACUGAGACACGGCCCAGACUCCUACGGGAGGCAGCAGUAGGGAAUUUUCGGCAAUGGGGGAAACCCUGACCGAGCAACGCCGCGUGAGUGAUGACGGCCUUCGGGUUGUAAAGCUCUGUUGUAAGGGAAGAACGGUAGAUAGAGAAUAUCUAAAUGACGGUACCUUACCAGAAAGCCACGGCUAACUACGUG
rnacentral:rRNA from 1 species